GACGAACGCUGGCGGCAUGCCUAAUACAUGCAAGUCGAGCGAACAUUUAUAGAAGCUUUCUUCUAUACAUGUUAGCGGCGGAUGGGUGAGUAACACGUGGGCAACCUGCCCUGCAGAUGGGGAUAACUCCGGGAAACCGGGGCUAAUACCGGAUAAUCAGUUUGUCCGCAUGGACAAACUCUAAAAGACGGCUUCGGCUUUCACUGCAGGAUGGGCCCGCGGCGCAUUAGCUAGUUGGUGGGAUAACGGCCUACCAAGGCAACGAUGCGUAGCCGACCUGAGAGGGUGAUCGGCCACACUGGGACUGAGACACGGCCCAGACUCCUACGGGAGGCAGCAGUAGGGAAUCUUACACAAUGGACGGAAGUCUGAUGGAGCAAUGCCGCGUGAGCGAAGAAGGUUUUCGGAUCGUAAAGCUCUGUUGUGAGGGAAGAACAAGUACGGGAGUAACUGCCCGUACCUUGACGGUACCUCAUUAGAAAGCAACGGCUAACUACGUG
rnacentral:rRNA from 1 species